GGAAUAUUGGACAAUGGGCGCAAGCCUGAUCCAGCCAUGCCGCGUGCAGGAAGAAGCAUCUAUGGUGUGUAAACUGCUUUUGUACGGGAAGAAACACUCCCUCGUGAGGGAGCUUGACGGUACCGUCAGAAUAAGGAUCGGCUAACUCCGUGCCAGCAGCCGCGGUAAUACGGAGGAUCCAAGCGUUAUCCGGAAUCAUUGGGUUUAAAGGGUCCGUAGGCGGUUUAAUAAGUCAGUGGUGAAAUCUGGUCGCUCAACGAUCAAACGGCCAUUGAUACUGUUAGACUUGAAUUAUUGGGAAGUAACUAGAAUAUGUAGUGUAGCGGUGAAAUGCUUAGAUAUUACAUGGAAUACCAAUUGCGAAGGCAGGUUACUACCAAUGGAUUGACGCUGAUGGACGAAAGCGUGGGGAGCGA
rnacentral:rRNA from 1 species